CCCUAGUAACUGCGAGUGAAGCGGGAAAAGCUCAAAUUUAAAAUCUGGCGGUCUUUGGCUGUCCGAGUUGUAAUCUAGAGAAGUGUUAUCCGCGCUGGACCGUGUACAAGUCUCCUGGAAUGGAGCGUCAUAGAGGGUGAGAAUCCCGUCUUUGACACGGACUGCCAGGGCUUUGUGAUGCGCUCUCAAAGAGUCGAGUUGUUUGGGAAUGCAGCUCAAAAUGGGUGGUAAAUUCCAUCUAAAGCUAAAUAUUGGCGAGAGACCGAUAGCGAACAAGUACCGUGAGGGAAAGAUGAAAAGAACUUUGGAAAGAGAGUUAAACAGUACGUGAAAUUGCUGAAAGGGAAACGCUUGAAGUCAGUCGCGUUGUCCGGGGAUCAACCUUGCUUUUGCUGGGUGUACUUUCCGGUUGACGGGUCAGCAUCAAUUUUGACCGUUGGAUAAAGGUUUUGGGAAAGUGGCUUCCUCGGAAGUGUUAUAGCCCAGGGUCGCAUACAACGGUUGGGAUUGAGGAACUCAGCACGCCGAAAGGCCGGGUACUUGUACCACGUUCGUGCUUAGGAUGCUGGCAUAAUGGCUUUAAUCGACCCGUCUUGAAACACGGACCAAGGAGUCUAACAUGCCUGCGAGUGUUUGGGUGGAAAACCCGAGCGCGUAAUGAAAGUGAAAGUUGAGAUCCCUGUCGCGGGGAGCAUCGACGCCCGGACCAGACCUUUUGUGACGGAUCCGCGGUAGAGCAUGUAUGUUGGGACCCGAAAGAUGGUGAACUAUGCCUGAAUAGGGUGAAGCCAGAGGAAACUCUGGUGGAGGCUCGUAGCGAUUCUGACGUGCAAAUCGAUCGUCAAAUUUGGGUAUAGGGGCGAAAGACUAAUCGAACCAUCUAGUA
rnacentral:rRNA from 1 species